UGAAGCAAGUGAGAUAUCACCACGCUUCUCUUCUCUCUCUCUCUUCUAUUCCUUCUUUUGUGCUCUGCAGCAUCCUCUGCUGGUUCAGUGGUUUCUCUCUCAGUGAAUCUUUUCUUCUUCUUUCUUCGAGUCUAAUCCUGUUUCUUCCUUUUGUGAUGCAAGGCUUGACUGAUUCAUCCAGUGAUCGGUAUCGGGUCGGAGCAAAUGGGAUUUCCUUGGUCAACGGAGAUGCGGCUUUGCUUGUGUAAGGUUGAUGGACUUGCAUAGAAAGGCAGGCAAAAUGUUCCUUGGGAAGGAAGGAUUGUGUGUAACUUGCAAGGCUUUUUCAGUGAGAAAGAGAAGCUCGUCGUCGUCAUCAUCAUCGGAAGGACUGAUCCUGCCACCAACAUGGGAACAAUGUCAAAUCUGACCAACUCGAAAGCUGCAAGACAUUCUUGCAACAUGAUCACGAAAGGUUGGUUCAUUACUGAUGCAUCAGUUUGUAUCACUUGUGAUGUUGAUCAGCUGGUAAGGGUGAUUUGCCCUGCAUAUGUUGCUUCUUUUGAAAAGAUUAUAUGGCUUCAUAUAAGUUAAAUUUAUGUUGUAACUCCAGAAAGUUGAAAUGUUUUCAUGUGUCUAUUACAGAGCAGUGAUUGUAUACUUGGGUUUUUUGUUUGUACAUG